rnacentral:rRNA from 1 species
CUGCAAGUCGAGCGAACAGACAAGGAGCUUGCUCCUUUGACGUUAGCGGCGGACGGGUGAGUAACACGUGGGUAACCUACCUAUAAGACUGGGAUAACUUCGGGAAACCGGAGCUAAUACCGGAUAAUAUUUCGAACCGCAUGGUUCGAUAGUGAAAGAUGGUUUUGCUAUCACUUAUAGAUGGACCCGCGCCGUAUUAGCUAGUUGGUAAGGUAACGGCUUACCAAGGCGACGAUACGUAGCCGACCUGAGAGGGUGAUCGGCCACACUGGAACUGAGACACGGUCCAGACUCCUACGGGAGGCAGCAGUAGGGAAUCUUCCGCAAUGGGCGAAAGCCUGACGGAGCAACGCCGCGUGAGUGAUGAAGGUCUUCGGAUCGUAAAACUCUGUUAUUAGGGAAGAACAUACGUGUAAGUAACUAUGCACGUCUUGACGGUACCUAAUCAGAAAGCCACGGCUAACUACGUGCCAGCAGCCGCGGUAAUACGUAGGUGGCAAGCGUUAUCCGGAAUUAUUGGGCGUAAAGCGCGCGUAGGCGGUUUUUUAAGUCUGAUGUGAAAGCCCACGGCUCAACCGUGGAGGGUCAUUGGAAACUGGAAAACUUGAGUGCAGAAGAGGAAAAGUGGAAUUCCAUGUGUAGCGGUGAAAUGCGCAGAGAUAUGGAGGAACACCAGUGGCGAAGGCGACUUUCUGGUCUGUAACUGACGCUGAUGUGCGAAAGCGUGGGGAUCAAACAGGAUUAGAUACCCUGGUAGUCCACGCCGUAAACGAUGAGUGCUAAGUGUUAGGGGGUUUCCGCCCCUUAGUGCUGCAGCUAACGCAUUAAGCACUCCGCCUGGGGAGUACGACCGCAAGGUUGAAACUCAAAGGAAUUGACGGGGACCCGCACAAGCGGUGGAGCAUGUGGUUUAAUUCGAAGCAACGCGAAGAACCUUACCAAAUCUUGACAUCCUUUGACAACUCUAGAGAUAGAGCCUUCCCCUUCGGGGGACAAAGUGACAGGUGGUGCAUGGUUGUCGUCAGCUCGUGUCGUGAGAUGUUGGGUUAAGUCCCGCAACGAGCGCAACCCUUAAGCUUAGUUGCCAUCAUUAAGUUGGGCACUCUAAGUUGACUGCCGGUGACAAACCGGAGGAAGGUGGGGAUGACGUCAAAUCAUCAUGCCCCUUAUGAUUUGGGCUACACACGUGCUACAAUGGACAAUACAAAGGGCAGCGAAACCGCGAGGUCAAGCAAAUCCCAUAAAGUUGUUCUCAGUUCGGAUUGUAGUCUGCAACUCGACUACAUGAAGCUGGAAUCGCUAGUAAUCGUAGAUCAGCAUGCUACGGUGAAUACGUUCCCGGGUCUUGUACACACCGCCCGUCACACCACGAGAGUUUGUAACACCCGAAGCCGGUGGAGUAACCAUUGGAGCUAGCCGUA